rnacentral:rRNA from 1 species
UUGGUGACCAGCGGAGGGAUCAUUACCGAGUUUACAACUCCCAAACCCAAUGUGAACGUUACCAAACUGUUGCCUCGGCGGGAUCUCUGCCCCGGGUGCGUCGCAGCCCCGGACCAAGGCGCCCGCCGGAGGACCAACCAAAACUCUUUUUGUAUACCCCCUCGCGGGUUUUUUUAUAAUCUGAGCCUUCUCGGCGCCUCUCGUAGGCGUUUCGAAAAUGAAUCAAAACUUUCAACAACGGAUCUCUUGGUUCUGGCAUCGAUGAAGAACGCAGCGAAAUGCGAUAAGUAAUGUGAAUUGCAGAAUUCAGUGAAUCAUCGAAUCUUUGAACGCACAUUGCGCCCGCCAGUAUUCUGGCGGGCAUGCCUGUCCGAGCGUCAUUUCAACCCUCGAACCCCUCCGGGGGGUCGGCGUUGGGGAUCGGCCCUCCCUUAGCGGGUGGCCGUCUCCGAAAUACAGUGGCGGUCUCGCCGCAGCCUCUCCUGCGCAGUAGUUUGCACACUCGCAUCGGGAGCGCGGCGCGUCCACAGCCGUUAAACACCCAACUUCUGAAAUGUUGACCUCGGAUCAGGUAGGAAUACCCGCUGAACUUA